rnacentral:sRNA from 1 species
UAGUGGCGGCGGUGGAGGAAGGACCGUGGAGCCAGGCAGGGAGGCGGGAGGGCUAAUAUUACA